rnacentral:rRNA from 1 species
UAUGUGAUCGUCUCUCGCAUAUCAAUAAGCGGAGGAAAAGAAACUAACAAGGAUUCCCCUAGUAACGGCGAGUGAAGCGGGAAGAGCUCAAAUUUGAAAUCUUAAAGGGUUUCCCUUUACGAAUUGUAGUUUAAAGAAGUGUUUUCUGUUGAGGUUUUGGUAAAAGUUCUUUGGAAUAGGACAUCAUAGAGGGUGAGAAUCCCGUAUUUGACCUUUACUUUCAACUUUGUGAUACACUUUCAAAGAGUCGGAUUGUUUGGGAAUGCAUGUCCAAAAUGGGUGGUAAAUUUCAUCUAAAGCUAAAUAUUGGCGAGAGACCGAUAGCGAACAAGUACCGUGAGGGAAGAUGAAAAGAACUUUGAAAAGAGAGUUAAACAGUACGUGAAAUUGUCAAAAGGGAAGCGUUUGACACCAGUGUUGUUUUUCUGAAAAUCAAUUAAAGAACUGUUUAUGCUAAGUUGUUUAGACUUUAUCAGCUAUACUGUUUAGUUUUGAGCUUUUCUUUAAUGCACUUUUCAGUUAACAAGUCAACAUCAAUUUCUUUUGCUGUAAAAAAGCUUGAGGAAGGUGGCUUGAGAUUCGUCUUAAGUGUUUAUAGCCUCUUGCCUACGCAGUCGGAGAGAUUGAGGUCUGCAGCGUAGAUCCUUCGGGGCUAAAUGCAUUUGUGCUAAGUUAUAGCAUUUUAUAGACAACUUGUUGACUAUGAUUUGUCUUGUAGCUUACUCGCUUAUGUUAUUUUACCUACGCUUAGGAUGUUGAAGACUCUACAGAGAUA